CAGCAGCCGCGGUAAUACCGGCGGCCCGAGUGGCGGUCACUAUUAUUGGGCUUAAAGCGUCCGUAGCCGGGUUGGGAAGGCCUCCGGGAAAUCUGGCCGCUUAACGGUCAGAAUGCCGGAGGAUACUCCCAGCCUAGGGAGCGGGAGAGGCCGAGGGUAUUCCCGGAGUAGGGGUGAAAUCCUAUAAUCCCGGGAGGACCACCUGUGGCGAAGGCGCUCGGCUGGAACGCGUCCGACGGUGAGGGACGAAGGCCAGGGGAGCAAACCGGAUUAGAUACCCGGGUAGUCCUGGCUGUAAACGAUGCGGACUUUGUGUCGGACAAGCUAUGAGCUUGUCCGGUGCCGGAGGGAAACCGUUAAGUCCGCCGCCUGGGGAGUACGGCCGCAAGGCUGAAACUUAAAGGAAUUGGCGGG
rnacentral:rRNA from 1 species